rnacentral:rRNA from 1 species
GCUUGUCUCAAAGAUUAAGCCAUGCAUGUCUCAGUACAAGCCAAAUUAAGGUGAAACCGCGAAAGGCUCAUUAAAUCAGUUAUGGUUCCUUAGAUCGUACCCACAAUUACUUGGAUAACUGUGGUAAUUCUAGAGCUAAUACAUGCAAACAGAGCUCCGACCGGAGACGGAAGGAGUGCUUUUAUUAGAUCAAAACCAAUCGGUGACGGGCUCGUCAUCGUACAACUUGGUGACUCUGAAUAACUUUACGCUGAUCGCACGGUCAUCGCACCGGCGACGCAUCUUUCAAAUGUCUGCCUUAUCAACUGUCGAUGGUAGGUUCUGCGCCUACCAUGGUUGUAACGGGUAACGGGGAAUCAGGGUUCGAUUCCGGAGAGGGAGCCUGAGAAACGGCUACCACAUCCAAGGAAGGCAGCAGGCGCGCAAAUUACCCACUCCCGGCACGGGGAGGUAGUGACGAAAAAUAACGAUACGGGACUCAUCCGAGGCCCCGUAAUCGGAAUGAGUACACUCUAAACCCUUUAACGAGGAUCAAUUGGAGGGCAAGUCUGGUGCCAGCAGCCGCGGUA